rnacentral:lncRNA from 1 species
AAAUAAUCAAAGCCAAAAUAACCGAAUAAAAAAAUAGUUAAAAUGUCGCUCGGCAUAUACAACACAACAUUCUCAGAAUCAAGUACACUAUCCCAAAACCCGAAAACUCACGGAACUACAAGUCUUUGGAUAUCUACAAUGUCUAACUCUAGAAUAUCUAACAGGGGAAAGAAAUAUAGAAGGGCAAAUGUUUAAAACCUAGAAUAGAAAGUGACUUCUCGGUCUGGGGACGCGGCAGAUGUACCUCGAAGUCUCUAGAGCAGUCGCCUCGCCUCACGGGUGAUAGGAAUGAGUCGCAGUACCUGGAUAUACACAUGAAAAACAUGCGCAGAAGGGGCAUGAGUAUACCACAGCGGUACUUAGUAAGUGUCAAGCCUAACCUCGGUCAGGUAGUGACAAGGAAGGUCAGGGCCCUACUGAGGUGAAAUAAAAUAUAAAGAUCAACAGUAUAGAACAAAACAGUAUAAAUAAGUGCAGCAGUAAAUAACAAAGGAUGUAUAGGACAUCAACAACUAUACAGAAGCAAGGUAAACACGGAAAGGAAAUACAGCUCAGCACCAAUAAUAACAAUCGGGGAUCUCCCAAGAUACCAUCCUGUAGUCCCAUAUGUACAUAUCUAAUGGAUCUCCCGGGAUGUCGUCCCGUAGUCCAACUCAUAGUGCGCGGGGAUCUACCGAAAUCCCGUUCCGUAGUCCCAAAUGUAAACACCCAGUACUGGGGGAAUCUACCGGGUGCAUUCUUGUAGUUCCAUAUAACUGUGCAAGGGGAUCUACCGAAAUCCCACAUCCGUAGUCCCAAAAUAAAAAGACAAGAAGGAGAUAUUGGAAUCCCACAUCCGUAGUCCCAAAAUAAAUACACAGUAGCAAUAGGAAAAUAUACAGAAAUGACAAAAUUUCAUAUUAAGGCAAUAAGUGAUUGUAGCCUAGCAUGUUGCACAAAAUUUGGGUAAGACAGGUUGAGCAAAUAAGCAAUUAAGUUACUGAGACAUGCUUUCCGAAGCUAACAACAGGCUUAAUAGUGCAAGUAAUAGAAACAUGAUAGGAAACAUACUAGUAAUUACUUAAAGAAAACCGGAUUUCCAACAAUUAGCACAAGUACGCACUCGUCACCUCACGUACAAGGCAUUUCAAUUACCAAAUAUAUCAAUCCUAAGGGGAAGGUCCCCCACACAAGGUUAGACAAGCCACUUACCUCGAACCGGCUCAAUAAUCAAUCUGANNNNNNNNNNNNNNNNNNNNNNNNNNNNNNNNNNNNNNNNNNNNNNNNNNNNNNNNNNNNNNNNNNNNNNNNNNNNNNNNNNNNNNNNNNNNNNNNNNNNNNNNNNNNNNNNNNNNNNNNNNNAUACCCGAAAUUAGGUAAAAUGACCAAAACGCCCUUCGGGCCCACAUCUCGGAAUCGGGUAAAAUUUAUAUUUUUAGAAUCCUUACGCUCUCACGAGUUCAUGCAUACCAAAAUUAUCCAAAUCUAAGGUCAAAUUCCCAAUCAAAAGUCGAAUUCUAGGUUUAAGAACUUUCUUUCAACUUUUCCCCAAUUUUCAUCUCCAAUCCGGAAUUAAAUGAUGAAACUAACUAUAGAUUAAUGGAAUAUAACUAGAAAGGGUUAAAGAAUCGUUACCCAAUGAUCUCCUCUUCAGUUUCCUCUCAAAAUCACCCUCUCCCGAGCUCCAAAUCAAAUUUUCAACUUUUGAAAUUAAACCCUCGAAAUUUCAUAUUUCUGCCCAGCUGUUUCCGGAUGCGGUCCCGCUUUUGCGGACCAAAGGUCGCAUCUGCGACUUCUCACUUAUGGGCCAGCUUUCGCAUCUGCGACUCCCAAUCCGCAGAUGCAAUACCGCUCCUUCGGAAUUACCACCGCCUCUGCGGUUCCUAAAGAAAUUCCCAAAUUCUGCUUCUGCGGCCACUGGGCUGCUCCUGCGGCACCGCACCUGCGGAACCCAAACCGCAAGUGCGGUUAUGACAGAACCAGCAGCUUCAGCUACAACUCUAACUCCAAAAAUCCUUCCGUCAACCACCCAAAUUCAUUCCGAGGCCCCCGGGACCUUAACCAAAGGCACCAAUAAGUCACAAAUCACUACUCAAACUUGUACCAAUCCUUAAAACAAUUAAAACAACAUCGAAACCUCGAAUUAACAAUGGAUUUAAGCCUAAGAACUCCAAAUUUUUCAAAAAUACACUUUCGAUCAAAAAGUCUAUCAAAUCUCACCCGAAUGACCUGAAAUUUGGCACACACGUCACAUUCAACACUACGAAGCUACUCAAACUUCCGGAAUUCCAUUCCGAACCUCGGAUCAAAAUCUCACUAUCGGACCGGAAACUUCAAAAAUUCAACUUUCGGCAUUUUAAGCCUAAAUUAGCAAAAGACCUCCAAAACACAAUCUGAACACGCCCCUAAGCCCAAAAUCACCCAACGAAGCUAACGGAACCAUCAGAUUUCCAUUCCGAGGUCGUCUUCACACUAUUCCGACUACGAUCAACUUUCCAACACUUAAACUCUCAUUUAGGGACUAAGUGUCCCAAAACUCUCCGAAACUCAAAAUCGAACAUUCGGCAAAUCAAAAUAGCAGAAAUAGACUCGGGGAAAGCAGGUAAUAGGGGAUCGGGGCAUUAAUUCUUAAGACGACCGGCUUGGUCGUCAUAUCCUCCUACACUUAAACGUUCGUUUGUCCUUGAACGAGCAUGGAGACAUACCUGAAGUAGUGAAAAGAUAAGGGUAACGGCUGCGCAUAUCCUGCUCGGUCUCCCAGGUCGCCUCCUCGACCGGCUGGCCCCGCCACUGAACCUUUACUAAUGCAAUGUUCUUUUGACCUCAGCUUUCUAACCUGUCUGUCCAAUAUUGCCACUAGCUCCUCAACAUAGAAUAGAUCCUUGUCAACUGGACUGAACUGUCACCGUGAUACCUCCGGAGCAUUGAAACAUGAAAUACCGAAUGAACUCCUACCAGGCUGGGAGGUAAGGCAAGCUCAUAAGCAACCUCCCCGACACGCCUCAAUAUCUCAAAAGGGCCAAUAAACCUCGCACUCAACUUUCCCUUCUUCCCAAAUCUCAUAAUGCCCUUCAUAGGCGAAACCCGAAGCAGAACCCGCUCUCUAACCAUAUAGGAAACAUCACGAACCUUCCGGUCCGCGUAACUCUUCUGUCUGGAAUGGGAUGUAUGGAGUCUAUCCUGAAUCACCUUAACCUUCUCUAAAGCAUCCUGAACUAAGUCUGUGCCCAAUAGUCUAGCUUCACCCGGCUCAAACCAACCCACCGGGGAUCUACACCGCCUACCAUAUAAAGCCUCAUAUGGUUCCAUCUGAAUACUGAACUGAUAGCUAUUGUUGUAAGCAAACUCCGCCAAUAGAAAAAACUAAUCCGAAGACCCUUUAAACUCAAUCACACACGCACGGAGCUUAUCCUCAAAAAUCUGAAUAGUGCGCUCAGAUUGUCCAUCUGUCUGCGGGUGAAAUGUUGUACUCAACUCCACCCGAGUACCCAACUCAUGUUGAACGGCUCUCCAAAACCAUGAUGUGAAUUGAAAACCUCUAUCUGAAAUGAUGGAAACUGGAAUACCAUGCAGACGAACAAUCUCCCGGAUAUAAAUAUCCGCCAAUUGCUCCGAAGAAUAAGUAGUACACGCAGGAAUAAAAUGAGCGGACUUGGUCAGCUGAUCCACAAUCACCCAAAUAGCAUCGAACUUUCUCAAAGUCCGUGGGAGCCCAACUACAAAGUUCGUGGUGAUCUGCUCCCACUUCCACUCCGGAAUCCCUAUCUGCUGAAGCAACCCACCCGGUCUCUGGUGCCCAUACUUCACCUGCUGACAGUUGAGGCAUUGAGCUACAAAUCCAACUAUAUCCUUCUUCAUCCGCCUCCGCCAGUAGUGCUGCCUCAAAUCCUGAUACAUCUUCACGGCACCCGGAUGAAUGGAAUACCGCGAGCUAUGGGCCUCCUCUAGAAUCAACUCUCGAAGUCCAUCAACAUUGGCUACACAAACCCGACCCUGCAUCCUCAAUACCCCAUCGUCACCAAUAGUCACAUCUCUAGCAUCACCGUGUUGGACCUUGUCCUUGAGGACAAGCAAAUUAGGGUCAUCAUACUGUCGCUCCCUGAUACGAUUGAAUAAGGAAGACCGAGAAACCACGCAAGCUAGAACCCGACUAGGCUUCGAAAGAUCCAAUCUCACAAACUGGCUAGCUAAGGCCUGAACAACUAUCGCCAUAGGCCUCUCCGAUGCUGGUAAAUAAGUCAAACUCCCCAAACUCUCUACCCGUUGACUCAAAGCAUCGGCCACCACAUUGGCCUUGCCCGGGUGAUACAGAAUAGUGAUGUCAUAGUCCUUUUAGCAACUCUAACCACCUCCUCUGGCGCAAAUUUAGAUCAUUUUUCUUGAAUAAGUGCUGCAAGCUCCGAUGGUUAGUAUAAAUCUCACAAGGCACAUCGUAUAAGUAAUGGCGCCAGAUCUUCAAGGCAUGAACAAUGGCAGCUAACUCAAGGUCAUGAACAUGGUAAUUCUUCGCAUGUAUCUUCUACUGUCUAGACGCGUAGGCAAUCACCCUAUCGUCCUGCAUUAACACUGCUCCAAGGCCAACCCACGAGGCAUCACAAUAGACCAUAUAAGACCUCGAGCCUGUAGGCAAUAUCAAAACUGGGGUUGUCGUCAAAGCUGUCUUGAGCUUUUGGAAGCUUGCCUCACACUCCUCUGUCCACUGGAAUGGAGCACCCUUCAUGGUCAACCUGGUCAUAGGGGCCGCAAUCGAUGAAAACCCCUCCACAAAAUGACAGUAGUAACCCGCAAGCCAAGGAAACUGCGGAUCUCUGUAGCUAAGGAUGGUCUGGGCCAACUCUGCACAACCUCUAUCUUCUUCGGAUCCACCUGAAUACCCUUACUCGAUACCACGUGGCCUAGGAAUGCCAUUGAAUCCAACCAAAACUCACAUUUCGAGAACUUAGCAUAUAACUUUUUCUCUCUCAGAGUUUGAAACACAGUCCUCAGGUGCUGCUCAUGAUCUUCCUGACUUCAAGAAUAUACUAGAAUAUCAUCAAUAAAGACAAUGAUGAAUGAGUCAAGAUACGGCCGGAACACAGUGUAUUAAAUGCAUAAAGGCUAUUGGGGCAUUGGUCAGCCCAAAUGACAUAACAAGGAACUCGUAAUGACCAUACCAAGUCCUGAAAGCAAUCUUCGGUAUAUCUCGCUCCCGAAUCUUCAACUGAUGGUAACCUGAGCUCAAGUCAAUCUUAGAAAACACUCGUGCGCCCUAAAACUGGUCAAACAGAUCAUCAAUACGAGGCAAAGGACAACGGUUCUUCACUGUAGCCUUGUUCAACUGGCGAUAAUCAAUACACAUACGCAUAGAAUCAUCAUUUUUCUUUACAAACAAGAUAGGAGCACCCCAAGGUGAUACACUGGGCUGAAUAAAACCCUUGUCAAACAAUUCCUGUAACUGAUCCUUCAACUCCUUCAACUCAGGAGGAGCCAUACGAUAUGGAGGAAGAGAAAUAGGCUGAGUGCCCGACAACAAAUCAAUGCCGAAAUCAAUAUCUCUAUCAGGCGGCAUGUAUGAAAGAUCAGCUGAAAACACAUCCGGAAAAUCCCGUACUACAGGAACUGAAUCAACUGAAGGGGUAUCAAUACUGACAUCUCUUACAUAAGCUAAAUAUGUGUCACACCCCUUCUCAACCAUACGCUGAGCUUAAAGAAAAGAAAUAACUCUACUGGGAGUGUGGUCUAAAGUACCCCUCCACUCAACACACGGUACACCUGGCAUAGCCAGUGUCAUGGUUUUGGCGUGACAAUCAAGAAUAACAUAAUGGGGCGACAACCAGUCCAUGCCCAAGAUAAUAUCAAAAUCUACCAUGUUGAGCAAUAAUAAAUCGGCUCUUAUCUCAAAACCACUAAGAGCAACCAAACACGACUGAUAGAUGCGGUCCACAACAAGAGAAUAUCUCAUAGGAGUAGAAACAUAAGCAAGGGAACUAAAAGAAUCCCCAGAUACACCUAAAUACGGAGAAAAAUAAGAAGACACAUAAGAAUAAGUAGAGCCUGGAUCGAAUAGAACUGAUGCAUCUAUGUGACAAACAAGUAUAAUACCUGUGAUGACAGAAUUGGAGGCAACAGCCUCAGUACGGGCAGGAAGGGCAUAGUAUCGGGUCUGGUCUCCUCCUCUAGGGCGACCUCUACCUCCUCGACCUCUACCUCUGGCUGGCUAAGCAGGUGGGGUAGCAACUGGAGUUGUAACCAUAGCCUGAGAACUAUGCGAGGCACGUUGUGGCUGAGAAGUCUGUGGAGGUGCACCCCACCAAAGUCUGGGGAAAUCCCUCACCAUAUGACGUGUGUCACCACACUCAAAAUAAGCUCUAGGAGGACGUGUUGGUUGUGACUGGCUCGGACCAGGUGUACUGGACUGACCUUUAAAAGCACCCCGCGCAGGAAGCGCACUAGAUACCAGUGGUGCAUAAUAAGGCUCCUGAGGUCUAGGAGGAGCUGGAAUACCACUGGCUGCUGGAAGAGCUAAAUGAACAGGGCGACUCAUAUAACCCCUACCAUGACGACCUACAGCUGGGGCACGGGCACCAGACAAAUGGCCCGACUCUUUAGACCUCUUGACCUCCCUCUCCUCUCUCUCCCUAAUAUGCAUACCCUCAAUCCUCCUAGCAAUGCCUAGCACCUGCUGAUGAGAAAUAUCCAUCUCAACUCACAAGCCAUGCUAGACCUGAUGCUGGGAAUAAGGCCCUCAAUAAACCGGCAAACCUUCUCGCGAACAGUAGAAACCAAGGCUGGUGCAUGCCUAGCCAAACUAGUGUAACAGACAGCAUACUCUGAGAUAGUCAUAGCACCCUGGCGUAAAUGCUCAAACUCUGCGCGCCAUGCGUCCAUGAGGCUCUGAGGAACAUACUCUCUCAAGAACAGAUCUGAAAACUGAGUCCAAGUCAGUGAAGCAGCCUCAUCUGGAUUGUAUAAUUCAUAGGUAUGCCACCACUCAUAGGCAGCUCCUCGAAGCUGGAAAGUACUGAAGGAAACCCCGCUCGAUCCUGAUAUACCCAUGGUACGGAGAAUGCGGUAACUCUCAUCUAGAAACCCAGAGCAUCCUCCGAUGCUAGAUUGUUGAAUAUAGGAGGCUUGUACCUUUUCAACCUCUGAAGCCUCAGUUGCUCCUCCUCGGAAGCCACUGCCCUAUCCUCGGGCUGAACUGGCACUACAGGCGGUACAGGAAUAAUCUUAGGGACCUGCCCAACAUGCACUCGCUGCUCAAGAGUGCGGGCGGCGGGAAUCUGUGCUCCUCCCCCGGUCUGAGAUGUAGUUGUAGCAAGGGGAAGCAAUCCUGCCUGAGCCAGAGUGGUAUACAUGCUCAUGAACUAUGCCAGAAUCUCCUGAAAAGCUGGAGUAGUUGUAGAAGUAGGCGUGUCGGGUGCCUGGACUCUGGCUGGAACUACUGGUGGUACCUCGGCGAUAGCUCGUGCAGGUGCUCUGGCUGCACCACGUGUGCAUCCUUGGCCUUUACCCCGGCCCCGGCCUCUGAUGACUGCAGUAGUGGGCAUAGGUGCCUGAUCAUCUCGGGUAAUACAUGUCAUCACCAUUUGUGAGAGAAUAGAAGACAGAAGUUUAGAAUUUUGAUGUCAAAAUAUCGCACUACAAGGAAAUCAUAUGAAGUUUAAUUUUUCCUAACAGUUACAUAGCCUCUCGUAGAUAAAUACAGACAUCUCCGUACCGAUCAGCGAGACUCUAAUAAGUCGGCUUGUGAUCCAUGACUUCUAUGAGCCAAGAGCUCAGAUACCAACUUGUCACGACCCCAAUUCACCCUUUGUGAAUUGUCGUGACGGCACCUAGUCUCUACGACUAGGUAAGCCUAACAAAUGCGGAACAUAAACGAAACUUGCGAAAGAAAUAAUCAAAGAUAAAAUAAUCGAAAGAAAACAAUAGUUAAAAUGCCGCUCGGCAUAUACAACACAACUUUCUAAGAAUCAAGUACACUAUCCCAAAACCCGGAAACUCACGGAACCACAAGCCUUUGGAUAUCUACAAUGUCUAACUCCAAAAUAUCUAACAAGGGAAAGAAAUACAGAAGGGCAAAUGUUUAAAACCUAGAAUAGAAAGGGACUCCUCGGUCUGCGAACGCGGCAGAUGUACCUCGAAGUCUCUAGAGCAGUCUUCUAGCCUCACAGGUGAUCGGACUGAGUCGUAGUACCUGGAUCUGCACAUGAAAAACAUGCGCAGAAGGGGCAUGAGUACACCCCACCGGUACUCAUUAAGUGUCAAGCCUAACCUCGGUCGGAUAGUGACAAGGAAGGUCAGGGCCCUACUGAGGUUAAAUAAAAUAUAAAGAUCAACAGUAUAGAACAAAACAGUAUAAAUAAGUGCAGCAGUAAAUAACACAGGAUGUAUAGGACAUCAACAACUAUACAGAAGCAAGGUAAACACAGAAUGGAAAUACAGCUCACCACCAAUAAUAACAAUCGGGGAUCUCCCAAGAUACCGUUCAGUAGUCCCAUAUGUACAUAUCCAAUGGAUCUCCCGGGAUGUCGUCCCGUAGUCCAACUCAUAGUGCGCGGGGAUCUACCAGAAUCCCGUUCUGUAGUCCCAAAUGUAAACACCCAGUACUGGGGGAAUCUACCGGGUACAUUCUUGUAGUUCCGCAUAACUGUGCAGGGGGUUCUACCGAAAUCCCACAUUCUUAGUCCCAAAAUAAACAGACAAGAAGGAGAUACCGGAAUCCACAUCCGUAGUCCCAAAAUAAAUAUACAGCAGCAAUAGGAAAAUAUACAUAAAUGGCAAAAUUUCAUAUUAAGGCAACAAGUGAUUCUAGCCUAGCAUACUGCACAAAAUUCAGGUAAGGCAGGUUGAGAAAAUAAGCAAUAAAGUUACUGAGACAUGCUUUCCUAAGCUAACAACAUGCUUAAUAGUGCAAGUAAUAGAAACAUGAUAGGAAACAUACUAGUAAUUACUUAAAGAAAACCGAAUUUCCAACAAUUAGCACAAGUACGCACUCGUCACCUCACGUACAAGGCAUUUCAAUUACCAAAUAUAUCAAUCCUAAGGGUAAGGUACCCCACACAAGGUUAGACAAGCCACUUACCUCGAACCGGCUCAAUAAUCAAUCUGAAACCACGUUCUUGCCACGAGUACUCGACUCCAAAUGGCCCAAAUCUAUUCAAUUCAAUUUCAUAAUGUAAAUAACACUUCAAGUAACCGAUUCUAAAAAGAAAUUCUAAGCAAAUACGCGAAAUUAGGUAAAAUGACCAAAACGCCCCUCGGGCCCACAUCUCUGAAUCGGGUAAAAUUUAUAUUUUUAGAAUCCUUACGCUCUCACGAGUUCAUGCAUACCAAAAUUAUCCAAAUCUAAGGUCAAAUUCUAGGUUUANNNNNNNNNNNNNNNNNNNNNNNNNNNNNNNNNNNNNNNNNNNNNNNNNNNNNNNNNNNNNNNNNNNNNNNNNNNNNNNNNNNNNNNNNNNNNNNNNNNNNNNNNNNNNNNNNNNNNNNNNNNNNNNNNNNNNNNNNNNNNNNNNNNNNNNNNNNNNNNNNNNNNNNNNNNNNNNNNNNNNNNNNNNNNNNNNNNNNNNNNNNNNNNNNNNNNNNNNNNNNNNNNNNNNNNNNNNNNNNNNNNNNNNNNNNNNNUCGCCCUCCCCCGAGUUUCCAAAUCGAAUUUCCAUCUUUUGAAACUAAAUCCUCGAAAUUUCAUAUUUCUGCCCAGCUAUUUCCGCAUCUGCGUUCAAGGGACCGUAUCUGCGGUCCCGCUUUUGCGUACCAAAGGUCGCAUCUAUGACUUCUCACUUAAGGGCCAGCUUCCGCAUCUGCGACUCCCUAUCCGCAGAUGCGGUACCGCUCCUGCGGAAUUACCACUGCUUCUGCAGUUCCUGAAAAAAUUCCCCAAUUUCGCUUCUGCGGCCACUGAACCGCUUCUGUGGCGCCGCACCUGCGGAACCCAAACCGCAGGUGCAGUUAUGACAGAACCAGCAGCUUCAGCUGUAACUCUAACUCCAAAAAUCCUUCCGUCAACCACCCGAAUUCAUCCCGAGGCCCCGGGGACCUCAACCAAAGGCACCAAUAAGUCACAAACCACUACCCAAACUUGUACCAAUCCUUAAAACACUUAAAAAACGUCGAAACCUCGAACUAACAAUGGAUUAAAACCUAAGAACUCCAAAAUUCUCAAAAAUACGCUUUCGAUCAAAAAGUCUAUCAAACCUCGUCCGAAUGACCUGAAAUUUUGCACACACGUCAUAUUCAACACUACGAAGAUAUGUACGCCACGAGGUGGUUUGUUGAUAUGAGGCCGAGAGCCUAGUGAUGAUACCACGAGAUGGCUUGAUAUUGCGCUUGGGCCUGUAAGGGGCCCCUCCAGGAGUCUGCACAACCCUAGUGAGUGCGGUUACCCAUUGUGAUGUGAGAUAUAGCUCGAGGGGCUGGUAUUGUUCUGAGAUAUUGUCCAAGGGGCGGAUUUGUUGACAUUGUGCCCGAGGGGCAAACCUUUAUGUGUUUAUCUUUCUUAUUUAUCGGUCAUUUACUUGUUUAAUUGUGUAUUUGUGCCCGAGGGGCUGGUUUUCCGUGCUUAUCUAUUCUAAGUGCUUUGCAUUCAAUUUCUUAUCUAUUAAAAAGUCAUUUUUAAAGAAUUUUAAACUGAGCUAAGGUGAUUUAAGAGAUUUCAUAGUUUCUUUGCUUUCUUACUUGUUUUGUACUACUCUAUACAGCAUGUUGAUGUAUUUUUCGUGAUUUCCUAUCACUCAGUCUUUAUUUAUGAUUAUUACUCACUGAGUUGGAGUACUCACUUUAUUCCUUGCACCUUGUAUGCAGAUUCAGGUAUUUCUAAACCCGGUAGAGGGUAUUGGUUGAUCGGAGGCAGAGUCAUCGAAGUUUAGCAAGGUAGUUGUCGGCGUUCGCAGCACUGCUUUUCUCCCUCUUUAUUUCAUUAGACUAUAUUUAGUACAUUUCAGACUUUUCCAUUGUAUUUAGACCCUAGUAGAUGCUCGUGACUUGUGACACCCUACUGUCGGGCUGUAUUCAUUUCCGCACUUGUUUUAUUUUACUAAAUCUGUACUUGUUGGGGAUUUAUCGUUAUAAAUAACUUAAAUUGACUUAUUAAACUGUUAAAACUGAAUUUGGGAAUUGUGUCGUCUGGCCUUAUCUUCACGAGAGGUGCUAUCACGACCGGGUCCGGUUUGGGGUCGUAAUAAGUUGGUAUCAGAGCCUAGGUUACAUAGGUCUUAUGAGUCAUAAGCAGGUUUAGUAGAGUCUCGCGGAUCGGUAUGGAGACGUCUGUACUUAUCCUUGGGAGGCUGCAGAACCUUUAGGAAAAACUUCAUAUUCUUGAAUUCUUAUCGUGAAUCCUUGAUUCAGCUUGAAAAGUAACUCUUUGAAUUCCUUCCACGCAUUCAUAUACGCGCAUGAGCGCUCAGUAUCAGAUAUGCAUUGAUGACUUGUGAUUCCUCGAUCAAUGGACGAGAUUUGAUCUCUAUGUGUUGAUGUUGGGCUAGUCUGGAAGACUUGAGGCCGAAUUUUUUUGCCUAUAGCUCGAGCCCUGAGCUGUUGAUUUCGUAAGCGUGUGUUUCUGGAUCCAUAUGUUCUGUUGUGUCCCUAUUAAGGGAGGUGAUGACUGGAUAGCUACGUGAUGAGUAUGUUAUGACUGCGAGGUGUAUUCAUAUGAUUUGGAAAUGACGAGAAGGGUCUGCUGGAGGAUAGAAGAACUAUUAGGUACAUGUAUUUUCAUCUCGAUUUGAGGUAUAGCCCCGAGUUAUGGGUGUGUGAAGAAUCUUUUCAUGUGUUCUAGUUGGGAGUGAAGUGAAUUUCAUGUUGCAGUAUGAGUUCAGACUCAGGAAGAUUAAGUGACUGCGUAAUGUUUAUGACGGUGGAAGGUAUACAGAAAUGUUAGUUUGAGGCAAAGCAGGUAGGGUUAUCUCCUGCGGAUUGUUCUAAAGUUUACGUGAUCCCUUGUGUCAUUUAUUGGAAGAUCCCUGCUACUAGGGAAAUAUAUGUUUUACAAUUUGAAUUUGGGUUGCUCAAGAGAGCAGGAUUGACUACUACGAGAGUGAAUACGAGAUUUGUAGAAGAUAUAAAGUAUCAGAUGGUCUGUGUUCCACGAGCUUAUAAAGGAUUAAGUUUAAUCUCACUAUGGUAUUAUGGCAGCAAUAAAGUAUAUGUGUUAUGAGUUAUUAUGAAUGUGUUGGUCUAUGGGUUCGAGCCAAGUGGGGGAGUCCACUAUUAAUUAGUUGAUUGCACGGUUAUGUGCUAUGUUGGUUCCAGUUUGAGGCGUGCAGGUGAAUCAGUUAUGAUUUGCGGAGGUUGAGACCAAGGAUGGCUCAAGUAAAGGAAAAUUUUGACAAAGGUUAUGUCAUGCUUCAUAGGUGUAUGAGAAUCACGAAAUGUCUUGAGUUGUUGUUGGUAAUGGAUGUUCAGUGCAUAGAGCAUGAAGUUGCUUGGUUGUUCUAGGAUGAGGUUACACUCUGCGAUGUCGGAGUGCUAAUGAGGCAUGGGUUGUUCGGUUCAUUUGAUCAGGCUAAAUGUAGUUUGAGUAGGGUGGAUGGCUUUAGAGAAUGGUUCUAACGCGUUCAAGAUUUUACAUGUAACAAUUGGGUAUUUUCAAGUUGUAUAUGUGGCUAGAAACUAAGUUUUCAUUGGAAGAUGUUAGGACUUGUGGUAUUUUCUAUAUUAAUUAUGGGAUUCUAUAUAUCAGUAUCAGGAAGGUAAAGGUAAUGGCUUUGGAAUCGUAGGAAGUCGCUUCAGGGUAAGCAUUUUAAAUGUGGUGCUGUUGGGAAUAUGUAAGAGAGAGUUCGGCGACUUGUGAGCCUUAGACGGUGUGGUUUUAUGCUUGGGUCUCAUGUAGUGAGUCUGGGUUGAGGAAUUGUGGUGUUAUGGCAAGGAGAAGUAUUUGAAGGUAAUUUAGAAGGAACUAGGAUCAAUAGGAUAGCUUGGUAGUAGGCCGGAUCGGCAUGGUAAAGAUAUGAUUAGUCCUUUGGCUGAUUACGAGGUAAUGAAUUUCUGCAGGUGUUUUGCGGCAAUUCUCUUAGGUUUUAGUGGCCUGCGUAGCUUGGUUGAAUUGGAAGGAUUCAGUUCUGACGGUUUAGUUUUGUGCGAAUGGAAUUCAGAAAGUUCUUGAUGAUUUCUAUCACGGUUAGAUGUGUAUAUUUUCCAUGGGCAUGAAGAGCAUGGGAUGUAUAGUGAUUUUCUCCCAGCUGAGGUCAAAUAGAAAAGUUCUUGGCUAGUUGAGUACGUAGUUGUGUGUGGCUCAGAAUAGAUAUGAAGUUCUCAUGUUUACCUUAGGACGGCAUGGUAUAUGCGGUAUGUUGUGCAAGACUUAGAUAUGCAUGUGUAAGGUUACGGAUCAGUUCUGAAAGGAAGGUCACAAUUCUUAGGCAGCACGGGCAGUUUCAGAUAAUUAGAGAAAUGAGCUUCAGAUGAUUUGGGAAAUGAUCUUCAGAUGAUUAAGGAAAUGGUAAUGCUAAUUGGGGUGAUUUGACGAGGGUAUAUGUUUCAGAAAAAGGCAAUGUGAUUAAGUUGAUGGUACUUCGAUAGUAUUGUAGCACUCUCUUGUUAGAUCAACUGCUGAUAUUCGAGUUUGCUUGGUGGCACAGAAGAAUUUUAGAGUAUCUCUCAUGGAAUGAUUGGGUAUUAGAGGUGUGGCAUGUAUUCGGAUGGUAGAAGUAGGAUCAGGUAUGGUGAUUCGUGGGCUAUAUGGAGUUAGAGACUGGGAGUUCUCGUGUUCAGGCUAUGUUGUGGUUGUGGGUCGUGUGUAUCGCCACUGUUUAGUGACUAUUAGGGUUUGGAGACCCAAUGGAUCUUUUGUUGCUUGGUAUGUUAGAUUUUGGAUGUGACAUUGGGUAUAGACUGAUUGUCUCCGUGUCGUGUUAUUCUGGACUAUUGUGCUAAGGCGACGAUGUUGGCUAUGUCGGGAAUGCCACGGACAGAGUAGCGAGGUUUGACGGAUUAUGUUCUAGUGGAGUGGUUUAUAUUUCGAAGAUCCAGCGGAUGGCUGGGAAGGACCGUCUUUCUUACUUGGGUUUCGUGAUAGAUGUCAGUGUAGAGACUCCUACCAUUUAUUCAGUUCCGGUGGUGAGGGACAUUUCGGAGGUGUUUCUUGUGCUCGGGCAUGUCGUCGGGCAAAGUUGUUGAUUUCGGUAUUGAUUUGGUGAUGGGCACCGUAUCGUAUGGAACCGACAGAGUGAGAGGAGUUGAAGGAGGAGCUUCUGGAACUCCUUGAUAAGGGGUUCAUUGGUAGUGUGUUCUGGAUCGAGACGGCUUUGUUGACUUCGAGUCGCUAUUGGUGAGGGAUGUGUUGAUUCUGUUAUUAUUGAGCUAUUAGUGUUCUGAGGUGAUCUAUGGAUUACUUUUUUGUGUUGCGAGACGUUAUGAUUUGUUGGUUAUAGGCACAGAUGGUGCAGUUCCAAUGGGGGUUCAUAGUGGAAGUCGAGCGAGAAGAGUACUGGGUAUUGCUCGGUGGAUGGCGUAUCGGUUAUGUCCUUUCGGGUUUGUGUGGUGUUAUGUAUUUGCUUCACCGUGGGUAUGAUGAUUUGCUUUGUUUCUAGACAUUAAUUGCGUGUGGUCGUCAAUUUCGAGCAGAGUGACUUGAGGUGUUUCAUGUGGACCAGUGUCUGGAUAGGGUCGCGCAUUGCAGCGAAGUUAUGUGGAGGUAUGACCUUGCGGUUUAGAUUCGUGUGAUCUGUUUCUAUGAUGUGAGACGGGUUCUCAGCCUUGUGUUGUGGUGGUACUAGUGAGCUUGUGGUACAGCUCUUUUGUUUGAGUCAUUUUCAUGAUUUGAGUAUAUUCAGAUUGUUGCUUAUUGGUGCGUGGAUUUCACAAGUUGAGGCAUUAGCCUGUAUUGAUAUGUCAUGUCACCAAAGUAGUGUGUUGGAUUAGAUGAGAUCAUUGGGAUCAUUAAUGAAUACGAAUGGAUUCGAUUUCAGCAUGUUGGAAGGAUAAUAUCGAGGUUCGGCUCAGAAAUUUGCCAUGGUCUUUGCCAAAAAGAGAAGUGGCUUCAUGAAUGGUAGAUCUGAGAAAUGGUUAUGGCUUACUGCAGGUUUCAUUUAUCAUUGGUAGUAUAUGAAAGUGUUGGAAUGGAACUUUAGUUGAUAAGAGGUUUUCUAUCGAUAUUCGGUUGUUGUGUGCAGCUAUUGUGAUUAGAAGUUAUCGCUACAAGUGUUUGAAUUAUGUGGUGUAUCAUGUAAUUGCACCUGAGGUUGCAGGUAUGGGUUACUACUGCUUGUUCGGGCUUAUUCAGAGUAUAGAUAUGGGAUUCGGAUCUUGUGGAUAAUUUCAGAAGUGGAAAUGUGGUUCUAAGGUUUAUGGACUAGGUUGGAUUGUGAAAAUUUCAGUUACAUUGUGUUAUCGGACCUAUGUGAGAUAGGGUGAUGUGGGAUCACCCCCGGGUGUGUGCAUGGCAAGGUUACACAGUGAUUUGAUGGUUUUCGGAACAACUUUGGGCACGUUCGCGGACGAACGUAUGUUUAAGUGGGGGAGGAUGUAAUGACCCGACAGGUCGUUUUGAGCUUUUGCACUUUGCUCGCCAGUUCUCGAGCAUGACUUGCCUCAUGUGAUGGAUUAUGACUUAUGUAAAUCGUUGGCUUUGGUUUUUAGGGUAAUCGGAAUGAAUUUGGAAGAACAGUUCUCAGUUUAAAGCUGGAAAUUUAAAAAGUUUGACCAAGAUUUGACUUGUUGGUAUAUGAUUUCGGAUCGGAAUUUUUAUGAUUUGGUUAGCUCCAUUAGGUGAUUUGGGACUUAGAAGUGUGAUCGGAAUGCAUUUUGGAAGUCAGUGGAAGGUUUAGGCUUGAAUUGGCAAAAUUGAGAUUUUGGCGUUUUCCGGUUGAUAGGUGAGAUUUUGAUAUAGGGGUCGGAAUGGAAUUCCAAAAGUUGCAGUAGCUCCGUUGUGUCAUUUGUGACGUGUGUGCAAAAUUUCAGGUCAUUCGAACGUGAUUUGGUUGGGUUUUUUACCAAAAGCGUAAUUUGGAAGUUCUUGAAAUUCUUAAGCUUGAAUCCAAUGUGAUUUUGGUGUUUUGAUGUUGCUUUGAGCAUUCCGAAAGUUGGAACAAGUUUGAAUGAGGUUAUGGGAUGUUUUGUUGAGGUCCCGAGGGCCUCGAGUAAGUUUUGGAUGGUUAAACGGAUCAAUUUUGGACUUUGGACUUGGCAAUUUUGCUGGUUUUGUGUUGCAGACAAUUUGUUCUUCGCAUUCGCGGUCAGGGACCCGCGUUCGCAAAGGGUGUUUUUCUAAGGCGACGAAUUUGCCUUCGCGUUUCGUGUGUCGCAUUCACGAUGUUGGGAUGUUUGAUUCUCCGCGUUCGCGUGGCCUGUGUUGCGUUCGCAUAGAGUAAGUGGGAGUAGAUGGGUCCCAGCCUUUUUGUGCUACGUGUUCGCGUAAGGGGAAAUUUUGGGCAACGGAUUUUUGUGCUUCAUGAACGCGAGGCUUUGACCGCGUUCGCGAAGAAGGUUUUUGAUGCGUAGGCAGAAUGUUUAAAUAGCCAUUGUCCGCGAUUUUGGGGCUAUCUUUCACCAUUUUUGGGCGAUUUUGGAGCUUUUUGAGAGGAUUUGAAGAGGGAUUCAAGAUAUAACACCUGGAGGUAAGAUUUGUGAACUCAAUACUCGAUCCUAUGUUAAUUCUUACUUGUUUAAUCAUGAAAUAUAUGAAAAUUAAAGCCUAAAAUUGGGAAAUUAGGGCUUGACUUGGAAGAGUGUAAAUUGGGAAUUUGAAGGGGCAAUUGAGGUCCGAUUCUGAUGUUCUUGGUAUGUAUAGACUCGUGAGAGGACGAGAAUUCUAUUGAUGUAACUCUUAUCGGAUUUUGAAAUGUGGGCUCGGGGGCUGUGUUUGAACAAUUUCGAGAUUUUUGAUGUAAAUUAGAUAUUUUCGAGUGGGCUUUGUUCCCUUAUCAUAUUUUAAUGAUUAUGUACUGAUUGUGGCUUGAUUUAGAGCAUCCAGAGGUCGAUUCAUUUGAGAAAAGGCAUCCAGGGCUAGAGUUUGGACCGGAUCGAGGUGAGUAAUUAUUGUAAAUGACGUUCUGAGGGUAUAAAACCCCGGAUGGCACAUUGUUGUGCUAUAUUGAGGUGACGCACACGCUAGAUGACGAGCAUGGGGUCGUGCACUGUUGGGGAUUGUGACUUAGUACAUCCCGAAUGACUGUUCUAUUGCGUAUUUGACUGAAAACUAUUUGUUAUCAUCAUGUUUUGGGCUGAAUGUCAUAUUUGGGCCUCGUGCCAACUAUUUGAACCCUUCGGGGAUUUUUAUUGAUAUUUCCUCACUAUUUUGACUUUAAACUUGUACUCAGUCAUGCUAUAUUCUACUGUUUUUAAAACUCAGCCAUGUUUACUCUGCUUUAACACUUGAAAGAUAUUUCAAAUAAUAUUUUGCGCUGAGCAUCAUGUUUUACUAUUGCCCGAGUGGCUUAUGUGAUUUUUGACUAAUUAAGGCGGAGGGCCUGUAUUGUGAGGAUACUUUUGGGUCAGGCUGCACGCCGCAACGAUGAUACACUGAUUUUGAUUAUGAGGCCGAGGGCCUGAGAUAUGUACGCCAUGAGGUGGCUUGUUGAUAUGAGGCCGAGAUCCUAGUGAUAAUGCCAUGAGAUGGCUUGAUAUUGCACUUGGGCCGUAAGGGGCCCCUCUAGGAGUUUGCACACCCCCAGUGAGCGCGGUACCCAUUGUGAUGUGAGAUAUAGCCCGAGGGCCUGAUAUUGUUAUGAGAUAUUUCCCGAGGGACGGAUUUGUUGACAUUGUGCCCGAGGGGCGAACCUUUAUGUGUUUAUCUUUCUUAUUUGCCGGUCAUUUACCUGUUUAAUUGUGUAUUUGUGCCCGAGAGGCCGAUUUUCCGUGCUUAUCUAUUCUAAUUGAUUUGCAUUCAAUUGCUUAUCUGAUAAAAAGUCAUUUUUAAAGAAGUUUAAACUGAGCUAAGGUGCUUUAAGAGAUUUCACAGUUUCUUUGCUUUCUUACUGGUUUUGUACUACUCUAUGCAGCAUGUUGAUGUAUUUUUCGUGAUUUCCUAUCACUCAGUCUUUAUUUAUGAUUAUUACUCACUGAGUCGGAGUAUUCACUUUACUCCCUGCAUCUUGUGUGUAGAUUCAGGUAUUUCUGAACCUGAUAGCGGGUAUUGGUUGAUCGGAGGCAGAGUCAUCGGAGUUUAGCAAGGUAGUUGCCGGCGUUUCCAGCACUGCUUUUCUCCCUCUCUAUUUCAUUAGACUGUAUUUAGUACAUUUCAGACUUUUCUAUUGUAUUUAGACCCUAGUAGAUGCUCGUGACUUGUGACACCCCGAUGUCGGGCUGUAUUCAUUUUCGCACUUGUUUUAUUUCGCUAAAUCUGUAGUUGUUGGGGAUUUAUCCUUAUAAAUGACUUAAAUUGACUUAUUAAACUGUUAAAACUGAAUUUGGGAAUUGUGUCGACUGGCCUUGUCUUCACGAGAGGCGCUAUCACGACCGGGUCCGGUUUAGGGUCGUGACACAACUCUUGGAUGCAAUGGUCCUGACUAAGAGGGUCCUUGGGCGUCUGUCAUGCUCAAGCUCUGGUAAGUAGAUCCACACUGUAUGAAAAAAAUAAGACGAAAUAGAGUUAAAGACAUAGAACACUAUGUGAGACAAUAAAACUUCCUAUCGGACACAUGCAAGAUAUGAUUGAGGCUAUUUUUUGCAAAAUGGCUUAUGUGGCCAAAAGGUGGCUAGAUGUUCAAACUCAACAAAAGUGACUUCUAAGACAUGGAAAAAAUUACUUUGCAGAAAUGAUCCAUUUUGUAGAAAUGGCCUAUGCGGACAAAAAAUGGCUAAGCAUGCAAAUUCAACAUAAUGGACCUUAAACUGAGGGAACACCUUGUUGCGGACUUAGGACUCUAAGACAUGGGUCACUGAACUACUUUUGCGAAAAUAGUUAUUUUUUGCAAAACGGCCUAUGUAGCCAAAAGCUGCUAGACAUGCAAAUUCGACAAGGACAGGCCUUAGAGUAGAGAGACACCUAAUUGUGGAUUGAAGACUCUCUAGACACAAUUAAACAAACCAUUUUGCAAAAAUAACCCUAUUUUGCAAAACGGCCGAUGUGGCCAAAAGUGGCUAGAGAUGCAAGAUUUGGCUACGACCCUCAAAGCCAAUAACCUAAGAGUCACUAAGAAGACCAAACCCUAUGUGGACUGCCUACGUAUCCUGUCCCGAAAGAUAAGAAUCAGGUAUGCGUAGUUCGGGAAGAUUGGAUAAGGGCGAGAAUUUUAAAAAAAAAAUUGAUUUGGAGAAAACAUAUUUUUUGUUUUUUUCUCUUCUUUUUUUUUUUGAAAAAUGAUGGGAAAGUGCAAAAUCUUUUUGGGUUUUUUCAUUUUUUGUUGGUUUUUUUCUUAAAAAAAUAUGAAAGAAAAACAUAAUUAGCCCUACUUUGUUUUAUUUUCACACUUCACCCUCUUCUCUCAUUUACCCCAAACCAUCAUUGGUCCGCCAAAUGAAUAUUUUUACCCUUGAAGAAUGAAAUAUGUAGCACAUAAAAUGCAUCAGGAUAGCCUUUUAUUUUGGGGUACACCUGUCCUAGACGGACCCAACCUCUGUGUUGAGUCCCUAAAGCCAAAUGCACAUGAUGCAAAUAAACGUUCCUACUAGGAAUUCAACAUGGGACUAUAUUAUUCUAGGUUUAAACCUAGGGUUGUGUUCUAGACCUGGCUUACCCGAGCGGACAGCUCGACCCAAAGUGGGGGCAACGUACCGGGAGCACGAAAGUCUACCCGGCCUUGUUGCUGACCCAAGACUCGUUUUAUUUGGUAUGACUUCUAAUAAAAAAGUGGGUCACGCAUACGUGUGCACCAUAUUUUAGAAGACUCAAAAGGAGGCGUAAGAAGACAAUUUAAUACAGUUCAAAUAAUAUCAAAGCAGUGAAUAAACGACAAUUAGCACAUUAGGUCCACAAAAUACAGUAAUAUCAACAAUAAAUAAAGCCAAGCAUAGAUCAUAUUAACAAGCUUGAAUUCUGAACCCUGAACCAGAAAUUCUAGGUUCUUGUCCCCAGCAGAGUCGCUAAAGCUGUCACAACUCCUUUUUCCCAAAAGGUGAUAAGGGAUAGGGAGUUUUUCCAACUAAAGUGACAAUAAUCGAAAUGGAAUUAUUUAUUUAGAUUCAGAGUUGCCACCUGGAAUAAUUUAUGAUGUCCCAAGUCACCGAUUUAUUUUAAAUCCCAAAUCGAGGAAAUUGACUCAAUUUAUGAUCUGCCAACACAGAAGACCGGGUAAGGAAUUUUGUUAACCUAGGAGAAGGUGUUAGGCAUUCUCGGGUUUUACGGUUUUAGCACGGUCUCUUUAAUCAUACCUGGCUUAACUAAAUUGUUAACUACGUGUUUUAGGACCCAUGUGCAUUUUCUCUUUUAAUUAAAAAAAGGCGAGUCACGCGUACGUGUACUCAUUUGUUUGGCGCGUCAAGAAUCAUGUCACGCGUACGUGCCCGUAAUUAACAAAGCUUUAUUAAUAUUAAGAAAGUUGGCCGAGGUUGUGCGAACGCAUACCUCGAUUUAUUUUGAAAAUCGUAAUUAUGUCACGCGAACGUGUACACAAUCACUUACUUUACAUAGACCAUAAUACUCAUUCAAAUUAUAUGUAUAUACAAAUAUAGUACCCCACAUAGAAAACAAGUAGAAGAAAAUAAAAUAAGGAACAGAAAAAAAUGAACAAGAAAGACACAAAUCAAGAAUCAACUCUUUACUUUCACAAAGUAAUUACCGUAACUUUGCCACAUGAACUCAUUUAAUUCAAAUUAACCUUCUCGUACAUACCCAGUUAUAUCAAACAAGAUUACAACCUCUAAUUCCAAAACUCGCAUUCUUCGCGUGUCAAUUCACCAGAACAAAGACAAUCAACACAUAAUCAAUUCUACAAUGAAUUUGUCAAAACAAUUGCAUGGUUUCUGGAAAAUGCAGUGAAGAGACAUGAACAAAUUCAACAAUUGCAUGGUUUCUGGAAAAUGCAUUGAAGAGACAUGAACAAAUUCAUCUCUAACAGCCAAAUCUAUACCAUGAUGAGGGUAAACUAAUCCAAACUUUUCACAUUUUUAAAGUAUCAAAUGUGCACAAGAACAACUUUUGAUGGCUUGCAACACGAGAUUAGACGCGAUCAUCAGUCCAAUACCAAUUAAUUAAUGCCACACCCUUUUCCAAAAUGCACCCUAUUCGAUUUACUAAACUCGCGAUCGAACUGACUAUGUAAGAAAACAAUUCACAAGUCCAAGUAAAAUGAAUUAUUCUGGGCAGUCAUGGAAUCAACAGAGAAGUUCUAGUUCAACAAAUAUGAGAAGGUGUAGAUUCGUUUCAAAUUACAAAACUGAAGAAAACUGGAUAGAACAAUGUAUCACGCACUACAUGGAUCACUGAAGACAUCCUUAUCAACUUUCAACACCAAGAGUAAUUGCCAAAACUAACUUUAAGAACAAUUGACAUAGGCUUUUGAAAAAAUCAACUGAAUCAUUUCACCCUAUGUGUAAUCUCAGGGAAACAAGCAAAAUAUUUAAAGGGACUGCUCACAGAUGCAGCAGAUGUACAGUUUCGAGAAUAUUAGACUUAAAAAUGCAUUUCGCGAUGAGACAGGGAUACGAAUUGGCGCAAGCAUCACAUAGAAACUAGCAAAGGCCGAUGAAUCAGAGCAUCGAUAAAUAGAAAUUAAGUCAAUCACCCGUGAAUGAAGUUAUAACCUAAACAACUCAAUUUCCAAUUGCUCAUGUUCGAACAUAUCACUCAACAAAACCGAAUUUCCAAUGACAAGAACAGAAUGUCAAAUAUCUGUCCUUAAACGUAAACUGAGACUACAAUCACAGUAACCAAGAGAAUAGGGCAUCACCAUAUUUCAAUCACAUUAACAUUGCCGACAACAGAGAGAAUGAGAAAAGAUGAACCUGAAUUAAACUCUCGAUUAACCUUGUUCAGAAGCUAUUACAAGCAAAUCCGGCGCCGGAAUUUGUGCAUCCAGUAGCAAACGAGCAAGACAGCAAUAGAAAUUGAUUAGGAACCAACGAACUUGAACCUCACGAGAAGUCAACGACCCUCAACUAAUCUCCAUGUUUUUGGAACCCAAAGUCAGAGCGGAAACUUGAUUAUUUAUUUUUUGUGUAUUUUUGAAUUUGGAGUCAAAUUGAAACUAAGAAGAAUUAAAACUUUUUAUUUAUUUCCCUUCAGAUCUGUGAACGAGAUAACAAAGUGAGAACAUUAGACAGAAAAUGGUGAAACAGUGGUGGUUCGUCGAUGUUGUUCAACCAUGGCUGUCACCGGACUGUUACCGAUGAAACCGGGUGAGGAAAAUGAGGAAUGAGGUCAUUUUGGCCAUGGCUGGUUGGGUGUUUUUGGAAGAAGGCAACGGCACUUAGGUUCUAUGUUUUUGAGAUUGAGAUCGCAGCUUAGAGAUGGAGAAGAGUGAGGGAGAUGAUAGAGGCCGAUUUUGGUGGGUGUUGUGCGUCUCUUUCAAGAUUAGGUCUUUUAGCUUCCACUUUUUUUUAGUUUUCUCAUCUUUUUCCCCUUCAUUGAUUGUGUCGUGUGUGUGUGUUAAUCUAAGAAGAAGGAAGGGAAAAGGUCAUCUCAUCCGGGUGAGCAACCAAUUUUCAGGGGUUCUUCUAGGUUAGGCCUAGGGUUAAAGAAGAAGAAGGGUUCCUAGGUUGUGAGAUGAAGAAGAGGGAACGACUGGGAGGGGUGUUCUUCUCUAGGUUAGAAAAUUAGGUUUAGGGUCUUCAAGUAAUCAGGGAAAUGGUUGGGCUC